GUGGCAGCUUCUGAGAAACUUGAGAGACAGCUGAUGCAUGCCUUUGUCCUUUGUUAUUUAUUCUUUGAUGUAAUUUACAUGCUGCCUUGGACCAGGAGCUCCAGGGCCACACGCUUUGGAUGGUGAUGCUGAAGCAGUUGGUCCCAGUACCACACUUGGAGAAUCAGUGCUUUUAAGGAUGGAGGUGGAGGUGGGCCGGGAGGACUGGAGGAGUGACUCAACGUGACAGCUUUUUAGGCUAGUUUUUCCCUGCCGCACUUUAAAUAUAUCCUGCCACUCCCUUCUGGCCUGGAAAGUUUCUGCUGAGAAAUCUGAUAGAAGGUGACGUAGCUCUUACCAAGGUGGAUUUCCGGCUUCUCUUGAGAGACCGCAGGGCAGCAACUGCCUUCCUUUUGGUCCAAAUGUGGUGGAUCACAAAGUCUUCCUCAAAGGACCCAGAGGAAGGAGGAAGAAAUGGCAGCUCUCUAAAAAUGAAGCAGAACCAACACGAGAUACAUGGUUUCCUUUUUCCCAAGUGCUGGUGUCAUUCUGCAGAGAAAACAAUGGAGCGGUCAUCCUGAUGGGAAACACUGGGUUCCCUGCACUGACUGAGACCAGGUUUAACCAAGGCAUCAAGAAGCCGCACCUGGCGGGAGAAAUGUCUCAGGACAUUGGCUAAAUAGGGUAGAGCUGAAAGGGACUAGUUAGGGCCUCCCCUGUCUGCACACAACUUGCUCUUGAUAAAACUGCUGCCUUGUGGAGGGGGAUGGGUGCAUCCCUUUUCUACAGACUCCCUCACAAUUCAGUUGGAAUGAUCCAAGGUAGGCUGGCCACUGGGUAUGUGCUAUGAUUGAGGUAUGAAGCCCCAAGUUCCUGACCUUCUCCUAGCUCAUCUUGUCUUCAAUCUCCCACCUCCUCCUCCCCCCAAUUCUUCUUAUCACCACAUACAGAAACAUUGGCACAUUAUUUCUGAUUUCCAGUAUUCUAACCAGUCAUUAAGUUCUUGUUUACUGCUGUCUCAGUAUGUUGACUUAGAUAAUCUGUUGCCCCAUCUUCCCUAAAUACAUGUCUUUCUCCAAAGGGAAAGGAACCUGUGGGUGACAGAAGAAAGGAAGAGGGAAGGAAGGAAGGAAAGGAGGAAAAGAAAUAUGGUUACCAUGUGGCUCUCCAGAGACUUGGUUCAUUAAUAACUUACUUUAACAAUUACUUCUUUUUUUUUAAAAUAUAAUUUAUUUGUCAGAGAGAGAGAGAGAAAGCACAAGCAGGGGGAGCAGCAGAGGGAGAGGAAGCAGACUCCCCGCUGAGCAGGGAGCCCAAUGUGGGGCUCCAUCCCAGGACCCUGGGAUCAUGACCUGAGCCAAAGGCAGAUGCUUAACUGGCUGAGCCACCCAGGCGUCCUUUAAGAAACACUUCUAUAGCCUUUAUUUGCUAGAUGCUAUUUUAAGUGCUGUGAGUAUUAACUUUUUAAAAUAAAGUAAAAACAGCUAUGAUGAUGUACUUGUGAGGUAGGUUCUAUUAUUUUCCUUAUUUUACAGAAAAGGAAGCAGAGUUGAGCCAAAUGCUCAAGGUCAUAGCUAGGAAGAGCCAGCUUCCAACCCAGACAGUUUGUUCUGGCUCCUUCUCUUACCCACUUUAUUUUGCUGCCUCUUCUCUCUGGUAUUUUAAAGAAUUUAACCUAAACAUUUUAUGACUAUGUGAAUAAUGCAUUCUUACUGUCAGAAAUUUGGAAAGGAGAUAAAGGUUAAAGAAGGAAAGAUAAAUAAUUCCAACCUCCAAAAACUGUGGUUAACAUUCUCAUAUUUUUAGUCUUUUCUCUAUAAGGUAUUUGCUCACAUAUGGAGAUCAUAUUACAUGUGUAAUUACAUUUCCUAAAUUUUCCUUAAUGUUCUAUAAUCAUUUUCUGUUGGUCACCAAACACUUAAAAAACAAAAUUUUAAAAUAACUACUAGACAUUUGAAUUGUGCUAAAUUUUUACUCAUAAACCGUGUUUUGUCUUGCUGUUUUUUUCUUUAAAAAAAAAAGAUGCUUGUGUUAAGACUAUUUUGGUUACAAAAAUUCUGAUGACAGAAAAUUUGGAAAUAAAGAGAAAACUAUUCAAUUUAUAAGUCCAUCAAGGUUUGUUGGGCAUCCUUCCUGUGCUGGACACUGUAAGAAGCUGAAGGUAUGACGGUUAACAAGAGCUGUUUCUUACCCACAAGGAGCUUACAUUCUGGUGUAGUAGAUGAAUAUCACAUAAAGUGUUAAGGAAAAAGGACCCUUUAGCUCCACCGCUUAGAAGAGAUAACCACCACUUACAACCAGGUGUAUAACUUUUCUAAUAUUAUGUUUACAUAUAAUUUUAAGCAAAAAUGGGAUUACAUUGUUGAUGGUUUUAUAUCUUGCUUUCCCCCCAGCAUACAACUUGCUAUUAUUCAAUGUUUGUCAAAAAUUAUACUGUUAAUGGUGGCAUAAUUUUCUGUUUUAUGUGUGAAACAUAAUUCAAUCAUCCUAUUGUGAAACGUUCAGAUUUUCAGUGUUUUGAAUUACAAACAUUGCUUCAAUGAAUAUACUUAAAACCUUUUUUUCACAUCUCCCUGUGAAAUUUCUGAAGAUGAAAUUUUCAGCAUAUAGAUAAUGAACAUGUUUAAGACCCUUAAUAUAAAAAAAAUUACACUUCAGAAAGCCUGAGUAUUUUUCAGUCUCACCAGGACCAUAUGAGGCACCCCUUCCCUGUGUCUUCACCCACAUUGUCUAGUAUAAUAAAAAAAAAAUGGAUCUUUUCCAAGACCUUGUUUAAUUCCCAUCUCAGUUUGCAUACAUUUGAGUACUGAUAAAGGGCAAGUAUUUUUUUCACAAGAUUAUUGACUAUAUCUUUUUUGGUGAUUUUUGCUUGUUUUCCCCAUUGCUUUUUCUAUUAGGGUUUUUUUCUUUUUUUCCAAACUGAUUUGAAAACUUUCUUGUCACUUUCCCUUGAAUUGAUAAUCAUACAUUUUAUACAGGGACAGUUGUGUAAGUUAAAGACUGCUUUGUUCCUUGGCUCGUGCCUUCCUUCCUCCAGUUUCAAAGCCAGCCACUGGCAUCUCUUUGAACUUCUUCCAUAGUUACACCUCUCUGAUUCUCCUCUCCUGCCACCUCUUCCAAUGCUACUGACUCUUGUGAUUGCAUUGAGUCCCCCUGGAUAAUACAGGAUACCCUCCCUAUCUCAGGAUCAACUGAUGAGCUGACUUAAUUCCAUCUGCAACCUUAAUAUUCACCUGGGAAUUAGGAUGUGGACAUCUUUGGGAGGACAUUAUUCUGCCCACCAUGAUACUUUAUUGUACUUUCUUUACCAAAUAGCUACCUCUUUAUACAUCUUUAUCAAUUUACCUUUUUUUUUUUUUUUGGGAUGUAUUUCAAAGUAAAUUGCAGAUGUCAGUAUACUUCACCCUAAAUUAGCAUGUCAUAAAGUAGACAUCUAUUAUUUGUUUACAGCUUAGAAAACAUUAUUUUUUUAACCACAAAACUGCGUUUUCCAGGAAUAGCAGAGAAUUGGAAUCUGGGAUGAGCAAGUUAUAGUUAAACCAUAGGCAAGUCCUCAGUUUUUUAAAAUUUUGUGGUAAAUUUUACUUACAAGAAAAUGUGCAAAUUUAAAAUAUGCAUUGCUGAAUUUAGCAAAUGCAUACACUUGUGUAACCUAAAAUCCUAUAAAGAAAGAAAAUGUUAACACUGUGUAUCAUGCCCCUUCCUAGCCACUGUUCUGAGGUUGCUGGUUUUGUUUUUGUUUUUUGUUUUUCAUUUUAGAUUAGUUUUACGUAUUGUAAGUCUUGAUAUAAAUGGAGUUAUUCAGUGUGCACUUUCAUGUAAGACCUCUUGCAUUCAGCUUUUAUUAUAAUGAUUAUUAUUAUUUUUAGUAUCAGUAGUUCAUUCCUUUUUGUUAUUGAUAUUCCAUUGUGUUGAAUAUUACUGUUGCCCUAUUUAUGCAUACCAGAUUUCAGUUCUUGGCUCUUAUAAAUGAAUUCUUGCACAAGUCUUCUUGUGGACACAUGUUUUUAUUCCUCUUGAGCAAAUAUCCAGAAGUAGAGUUAAUGAACCAUUGGGAAAGUGUAUAUUUAGUUUUAUAAGAAACUGCUAGAACUUAAAAAAAAUUUAUAUUAUUUUACACUCUCACCAACAAUGCGUAAGAGUUCCAGUUGCUCUAAAUCCCUGCCAACAUUUGGUGUUGUCAGUGUUUUUAAUUUCAACCAUUUUGACAGGUGUUUUUUGUGAUUUUAGUUUGCAUUUUGCUGAUGACUAACGUUGAACCCUUUUUCAUGUACAUAUUAGUCAUUCAUAUCUUUUGCUCAUUUUUACUGUUUUUUGUACUUUUAAGUAUUAACUUGAUUUGUAUCUCAUUGG